CCACAGACAGUGUAUAGAGGUCCAUCCACAAUGGUUGCUAGGCCAAAGUCCCCUAACUUCAGGGACUUGCUUCCAUCUUGGUGUUCAUAUACCAGGAGGUUCUCCGGCUUGAUAUCCCUGUGAACGAUGUUCAGGCUGUGAAGAUAUUUGAUGGCACUGGCCAGAUUGUAAAGCAUCCCACUGGCAUCCCGCUCUGUGUAUUUGUUGGUCGAAGUAAUAGCAUCAAAAAGAUCUCCUCCCUGAUCCCUAAGUAUUAGAUAUCAGCAUGUGGCAAAAUAUGUGGGAUAAAUAAUCUAUCUUCC
rnacentral:lncRNA from 1 species